UGGGGAAUAUUGGACAAUGGACGCAAGUCUGAUCCAGCAAUGCCGCGUGUGUGAAGAAGGCCUUAGGGUUGUAAAGCACUUUCACCCGCGAAGAUGAUGACGGUAGCGGGAGAAGAAGCCCCGGCUAACUCCGUGCCAGCAGCCGCGGUAAUACGGAGGGGGCUAGCGUUGUUCGGAAUUACUGGGCGUAAAGGGCGUGUAGGCGGCCUCGCCAGUCAGGCGUGAAAGCCCCGGGCUUAACCUGGGAACUGCGCUUGAUACUGCGAGGCUAGAGUUCGGGAGAGGAGAGUGGAAUUCCCAGUGUAGAGGUGAAAUUCGUAGAUAUUGGGAAGAACACCGGUGGCGAAGGCGGCUCUCUGGACCGAUACUGACGCUGAGGCGCGAAAGCGUGGGGAGCAAACAGGAUUAGAUACCCCCGUAGUCC
rnacentral:rRNA from 1 species